UUUCCGGUUGAUCCUGCCGGAGGCCAUUGCUAUCGGAGUCCGAUUUAGCCAUGCUAGUCGAGCGAGGUUAGCCCUCGCGGCGAACAGCUCAGUAACACGUGGCCAAGCUACCCUGCAGAGGGGGACAGCGUCGGGAAACUGACGGGAAUCCCCCAUACCGGUCUCACGCUGGAAUGCCGAGACCGACAAACGCUCCGGCGCUGCAGGAUGCGGCUGCGGCCGAUUAGGUAGUCGGUGGGGUAACGGCCCACCGAGCCGAUAAUUGGUACGGGGUGUGAGAGCACGAGCCCGGAGACGGAAUCUGAGACAAGAUUCCGGGCCCUACGGGGCGCAGCAGGCGCGAAACCUUUACACUGCACGGAAGUGCGAUAGGGGAAUCCCAAGUGCGAGGGCAUAUCGUCCUCGCUUUCGUGUACCGUAGGGUGGUACACCAACAAGGGCUGGGCAAGACCGGUGCCAGCCGCCGCGGUAAUACCGGCAGCUCGAGUGAUGGCCGAUUUUAUUGGGCCUAAAGCGUCCGUAGCUGGCCCUGCAAGUCCGUCGGGAAAUCCACUCGCCUAACGAGUGGGCGUCCGGCGGAAACUACAGGGCUUGGGACCGGAAGACUUGAGGGGUACGUCUGGGGUAGGAGUGAAAUCCUGUAAUCCUGGACGGACCGCCGAUAGCGAAAGCACCUCAAGACGACGGAUCCGACAGUGAGGGACGAAAGCUAGGGUCUCGAACCGGAUUAGAUACCCGGGUAGUCCAAGCUGUAAACGAUGCUCGCUAGGUGUGGCGUAGGCUACGAGCCUGCGCUGUGCCAAAGGGAAGCCACGAAGCGAGCCGCCUGGGAAGUACGUCUGCAAGGAUGAAACUUAAAGGAAUUGGCGGGGGAGCACUACAACGGGAGGAGCCUGCGGUUUAAUUGGAUUCAACGCCGGGA
rnacentral:rRNA from 1 species